rnacentral:rRNA from 1 species
UACAGAGGUCCCAAGCGUUGUUCGGAUUCACUGGGCGUAAAGGGUGCGUAGGCGGUCGGGGUAAGUCUGACGUGAAAUCUUCAAGCUUAACUUGGAAACUGCGUCGGAUACUAUUCGGCUGGAGGAAUGGAGGGGAGACUGGAAUACUUGGUGUAGCAGUGAAAUGCGUAGAUAUCAAGUGGAACACCAGUGGCGAAGGCGAGUCUCUGGACAUUUCCUGACGCUGAGGCACGAAAGCCAGGGGAGCGAACGGG